UUUUAGCCCGGAUGGGAGCGGCAUCCUUUUGUGCAGGGGUUCGGCACAAAAGAUAGAGCGGACAGCCGGAAUAGCU
rnacentral:sRNA from 1 species